rnacentral:rRNA from 1 species
AACGAACGCUGGCGGCGCGCCUAAUACAUGCAAGUCGAGCGAGAAGACGUAGCAAUACGUUUGUAAAGCGGCGAACGGGUGAGGAAUACAUGGGUAACCUACCCUCGAGUGGGGAAGUAACUAGCCGAAAGGUUAGCUAAUACCGCGUACGCUCCUCGGACUUCGGUUCAGGGAGGAAAGCGAUACCGUGGGUAUCGCGCUCUUGGAUGGGCUCAUGUCCUAUCAGCUUGUUGGUGAGGUAACGGCUCACCAAGGCUUCGACGGGUAGCUGGUCUGAGAGGACGAUCAGCCACACUGGCACUGCGACACGGGCCAGACUCCUACGGGAGGCAGCAGUAAGGAAUAUUGCGCAAUGGGCGAAAGCCUGACGCAGCGACGCCGCGUGGGGGAUGAAGGUC